AUACGGAGGGUGCGAGCGUUAAUCGGAAUUACUGGGCGUAAAGGGUGCGUAGGCGGCUUGAUAAGUCGGAUGUGAAAGCCCCGGGCUUAACCUGGGAAUUGCAUUCGAUACUGUCAGGCUAGAGUAUGUCAGAGGUUGGCGGAAUUCCUAGUGUAGCGGUGAAAUGCGUAGAUAUCAGGAGGAACACCAGUGGCGAAGGCGGCUAACUGGGGCAAUACUGACGCUGAGGCACGAAAGCGUGGGGAGCAAACAGGAUUAGAAACCCUAGUAGUCC
rnacentral:rRNA from 1 species